rnacentral:rRNA from 1 species
GGCCGCGGGAAUUCGAUUCAGGCGUAACACAUGCAAGUCGAACGGCAGCACGGACUUCGGUCUGGUGGCGAGUGGCGAACGGGUGAGUAAUACAUCGGAACGUGCCCAGUCGUGGGGGAUAGCGUAGCGAAAGCUACGCUAAUACCGCAUACGAUCUAAGGAUGAAAGCGGGGGAUCGCAAGACCUCGCGCGAUUGGAGCGGCCGAUGGCAGAUUAGGUAGUUGGUGGGGUAAAGGCUCACCAAGCCGACGAUCUGUAGCUGGUCUGAGAGGACGACCAGCCACACUGGGACUGAGACACGGCCCAGACUCCUACGGGAGGCAGCAGUGGGGAAUUUUGGACAAUGGGCGCAAGCCUGAUCCAUCAAAGCCGCGUGCAGGAUGAAGGCCCUCGGGUGUAACCUUAAGAGUACGGAACGAAAAGGCUCUGGUUAAUACCUGGGGC